rnacentral:rRNA from 1 species
CGUGCAGGCGGAACUUUAAGUCAGUGGUGAAAUCUUGCCGCUUAACGGUAAAAUUGCCAUUGAUACUGAAGUUCUUGAAUAUGGUUGAGGUAGGCGGAAUGUGUUGUGUAGCGGUGAAAUGCAUAGAUAUGACACAGAACUCCGAUUGCGAAGGCAGCUUACUAAACCAUUAUUGACGCUGAGGCACGAAAGCGUGGGGAGCGAACAGGAUUAGAUACCCUGGUAGUCC